GCGCUGUAGGCUUUUGACAACUCUUGACAUUUCAAUUUUUCGCGUCGAUUUUGCUUGUGUGCAGUUUUUAUCGCGUUCUUCAUCAAUUUUAGAUACCUUGCUUUUUAUCGUUCCGGCCACCAGAUUCGUUGGUUUUCAUAAAGUUGCAUUUGCCUGUGCCACUUCCACCCGUGUUUAUAAGGCGUAAUAUUCAACUGGAGAUACCUUGCUUUUUAUCGUUCCGGCCACCAGAUUCGUUGGUAUUCAUAAAGUUGCAUUUGGCUGUGCCACUUCCACCCG